CUUGCAGUGGGUGCUGGAGGGUGCUUUCCUAGCCGUUCCAAGCUUUUCAGUUUCCAUGGAAAUAAAGAAGAAGCAUAUCUUUUAGAGUGACAUAAACAUUUGAUCUUCCCAAAUGCUGGUUUAUCAACUUCUAAAAUUUUUAAAAUUACACCGUAUUUCUUUGGUGUCUAGUAAGAGUCAUGAAUGCUUGAAGUUGGAAGUCCACUUGCCCAGUACCAUGUACAGAUUAUUUUUGCGUAUCUCCAAGAAUAGAAACUCCACAAGCUUUCUGGGUAACCAGUACAGUUUCUCAAUUAUCCUCAUAAUCAAAAGGUGUUUUCUUAUUUUCUGAUUUAACAUUCUGUAUUUCAGUUUGUUCCCCAAACAAUCUAAAGGUCUUUCUCUUUUCUUCUUUACUUACAUUUUUCAAGUAAAUGUG